rnacentral:rRNA from 1 species
GGUGCCUUCGGGAACUCUGACACAGGUGCUGCAGUGGCUGUCGUCAGCUCGUGUCGUGAGAUGUUGGGUUAAGUCCCGUAACGAGCGCAACCCUUGUCCUUAGUUACCAGCACGUUAUGGUGGGCACUCUAAGGAGACUGCCGGUGACAAACCGGAGGAAGGUGGGGAUGACGUCAAGUCAUCAUGGCCCUUACGGCCUGGGCUACACACGUGCUACAAUGGUCGGUACAAAGGGUUGCCAAGCCGCGAGGUGGAGCUAAUCCCAUAAAACCGAUCGUAGUCCGGAUCGCAGUCUGCAACUCGACUGCGUGAAGUCGGAAUCGCUAGUAAUCGUGAAUCAGAAUGUCACGGUGAAUACGUUCCCGGGCCUU